UCCGCUUGUGGUUAUUUAGGUACAACUCGCGGGGGGCGUCUCGUACAACAGCGGGGGGCGUCUCGUGUCAUGUUGGCUGCAGCGGUGGAGCGCAUCGUGCACGAAGGCCUGAACGGUCUUCUGUUUUACAGUGAGGAGGACUGGAGUCGGCGCAUAUCCAGCGAUGUCCUCCAAGAUCAACUCCUGGCCGUCCGGAGAGCUCACGACAUCGGGAAAGCCUUUGGCCUACCGGUGCCUACGUGGGCGGAGCCACCAACAUAGCCCGGGGGCUUGUGCCCUCGGACCCUAGUUUCUCUGGACUAAAAUAAAGUUCUUGCCAUGCCA